UACGGGGGGAGCAAGCGUUGUUCGGAUUUACUGGGCGUAAAGGGCGCGUAGGCGGCCACCGCAAGUCAAUUGUGAAAUCUCCGGGCUUAACUCGGAAAGGUCAACUGAUACUGCGGGGCUAGAGUGCGGAAGGGGCAACUGGAAUUCUCGGUGUAGCGGUGAAAUGCGUAGAUAUCGAGAGGAACACCUGCGGCGAAGGCGGGUUGCUGGGCCGACACUGACGCUGAGGAGCGAAAGCCAGGGGAGCAAACGGG
rnacentral:rRNA from 1 species